rnacentral:rRNA from 1 species
GUCUGUAGACAUACUUCCCUAAAUACCCCCGAUCUUCUCUGACCUGGGAAGCUAAGCAGGCUUAGGUCCAGUUAGUACUCAGAUGAGAGAAGUUUGUUUGAGACAGGGU